rnacentral:rRNA from 1 species
GACGAACGCUGGCGGCGUGCUUAACACAUGCAAGUCGAACGGUGAAGCUCCAGCUUGCUGGAGUGGAUCAGUGGCGAACGGGUGAGUAACACGUGAGCAACCUGCCCCUGACUCUGGAAUAAGCGCUGGAAACGGCGUCUAAUACUGGAUACGAGAAGGGUCCGCAUGGGCACUUUCUGGAAAGUUUUUCGGUUGGGGAUGGGCUCGCGGCCUAUCAGCUUGUUGGUGAGGUAAUGGCUCACCAAGGCGACGACGGGUAGCCGGCCUGAGAGGGCGACCGGCCACACUGGGACUGAGACACGGCCCAGACUCCUACGGGAGGCAGCAGUGGGGAAUAUUGCACAAUGGGCGAAAGCCUGAUGCAGCGACGCCGCGUGAGGGAUGACGGCCUUCGGGUUGUAAACCUCUUUCAGCAGGGAAGAAGCGAAAGUGACGGUACCUGCAGAAGAAGCACCGGUUAACUACGUG